GCCCCCAGUUAAACCUUCGCCGCUUUCCGCUGAACUCCGGGGUAAAACUUGACGUCCCUGUCUGAUUUUCCACUUUGUCACCCAGAACGGGGGCAGGCCACCUCGCGGGGAGGGGGCGCCAGGCGGAGAUGCGGCGCAGGCGCAGGGAGCCCCGACCACCCCCAAGGAGACAGAGGCCGUCGGGACUUCCUCUGCGCUCUCCCACCAGCAGGCAGGACGUGGGAGUUUGCCAAAGCACAGAAAUCGAAUAUCUGAGACACUUCUUUUUGCUGCCACACAGGAAAAGAUGGAAAUUAUCUGUCCUGGCUGUGAUGAAAUGCGUCAGUGUGUAAGCAGAUACGGUCUCAGUAAUUGAUGGUCUUAAGGGAACAAAAGAACGCAGAAACAAACGACUGUAAUCAGACAAGAGAAGUAACAACAGCAAAAAUAUGUACCAGUUGUAAAGACUCCCGGUUCUGUUUCAAUGGUGACGAUUAGCCUGAAGCCGCAACCACCAGACCUACCGGAAUCUAAGGGGUGAAGAUGACCUUUUCUGACCUUCCUGACUUCAAUCAAAUAAACCCUGGACUCUGCGGGGAGACACUGCUUUGGAGAAGAUCCCCAGUGUUCCCCUUACUUGCAGCAGGUAAUAAAUCCUUCCUUCUCCG